CCCCUGUGGCUGUCGUAAGGUGACAAGGUUCCUCUGGGGUAAAAAUAAAAAUAAAUAAAUAAAUAAAAAUUAAUCUGGAGAGCUGGUGCCAGAAUGUAGGAAGCCCUGCAGGUGCCUGCCGUUCCCCCAACGAGGUUGCCCCAGGCUGGGCUGAUUGAGUCCAGGCAGACACACCUGGGGGAGAUUUGGGACCAGCAGCCUCCAGAGCUCUGGCAGCAAUAAAAAGGCCCUGGCUGAAAGCAGGGUUGGUGGGGCUAGGGAGUAGUAGUGGGUGGCUUCCUUGUAUUCACUGCAACUGGAGCCUGAGGAGGUGCUGCUCUGCAGCCACCUCCCUGUGGUCAGAAGUGGACCAAGACAUGGAAGUAUUGAUGUGUGCAGAGGCUCUCAGUAGUUUGUAGCCAGGGAAGAGGAGGUUACCAGAGCUGAGUUGCUGGUGUGCUUUGAGGCUGUACUGGUUGAGGAUAUGGAGCGGUGCCUCAGCUGCUUUAUCCAGGGGCUGGAGAUCUGGUGCUGUAUUGGUAGUGGUUCCUUGGAAGCACCCAUUGAAUGCUUACUGUGGUUUACUGCAUCUGGAUGGAGAACUGCUCUUCCUGCCAUGGCACUGCUGACCUGUGUGGGGGACAAAGGCUGGCAUCUGUGGUGGAGUUGAGGGCUGCAGGAACAAGCAGAUGCUCCUCAUCUCUUUUUGUGUGGUUCCUGUAUAUGAAGUGCUCUUCAGGGACACUCAGGAAGGAGGCCUCCUUUUUGGGGUGUCUGCCAGUUGCGCAGUGCGGAGGACCAGUUCAGUGCCUCUUGUGGCCUGUCCCUGAGAGCAGGAGGAACCAUGGGCAAUGAUAGCUCCCUCACCAAAUGCACCAGCGAUUCACCUCCAGCCUACUUGCUCCAGCCAUGGUGAGACUAAAGCAGCAGGAACUAUCUUUCACUUUUUUUAGCUGAUAGUUAGUCAA